rnacentral:rRNA from 1 species
ACACUCCUACGGGAGGCAGCAGUGGGGAAUAUUGGACAAUGGGCGCAAGCCUGAUCCAGCCAUGCCGCGUGAGUGAUGAAGGCCCUAGGGUUGUAAAGCUCUUUCACCGGUGAAGAUAAUGACGGUAACCGGAGAAGAAGCCCCGGCUAACUUCGUGCCAGCAGCCGCGGUAAUACGAAGGGGGCUAGCGUUGUUCGGAUUUACUGGGCGUAAAGCGCACGUAGGCGGACUAUUAAGUCAGGGGUGAAAUCCCGGGGCUCAACCCCGGAACUGCCUUUGAUACUGGUAGUCUUGAGUGCGAGAGAGGUGAGUGGAAUUCCGAGUGUAGAGGUGAAAUUCGUAGAUAUUCGGAGGAACACCAGUGGCGAAGGCGGCUCACUGGCUCGAUACUGACGCUGAGGUGCGAAAGCGUGGGGAGCAAACAGGAUUAGAAACCCCAGUAGUCCCA